rnacentral:rRNA from 1 species
UACGUAGGGUGCGAGCGUUAAUCGGAAUUACUGGGCGUAAAGCGUGCGCAGGCGGCCGAGCAAGUCGAGUGUGAAAGCCCCGAGCUUAACUUGGGAAUUGCGCUCGAAACUACUUGGCUGGAGUGUGGCAGAGGAAGGUGGAAUUCCAGGUGUAGCGGUGAAAUGCGUAGAGAUCUGGAGGAACACCGAUGGCGAAGGCAGCCUUCUGGGCCAACACUGACGCUCAUGCAUGAAAGCGUGGGGAGCAAACAGG